UUGUUUAAUAUAAUCAACUUUUCCUAAUAGUAAUCUCUUAAGAUGGUAUAUAUAUUACGUGAAAGACCAGUAGAGUAAUUCUCUCAGACUUUCUCUUUUCCUAAUUUAGCAGAAAAGUCUAAGAGAAAGAAAGAGAAGAGAACUGCAAAUGUGUGCUAAAAUGCUAGCUGCCAAUCCAUUUUUAGAUCUUGAGAGUGCUCUAACAAAGCGAAAUUGCAUACAAGGUUUAGCAUCUCUAAAUGAAGACGUAAGAACAACAAAAAUGUCUAUAGAUCCAAUAGAAAGCUGUAAAGAAUGAUGAGAAUACUACUCAUAUCCUCGAUCGAGAGUAUAAGAAAUACCAAGAUUUUCAAUAGAAUGCAGAAAAACAAGGAGUUGAUGUUAACAAUGAAAGAGCACAAACUAAGGUAUAUUGGUUAUAUAAUGAGAGAGAAGAAUUUAAGGGAAAAGGUCAAUAGAGAGAACUCGUGGCUCGGUAAAACAUCAUCCGAAAUCUUCAGAGAAAUUGUUUCAUACGUAAUUAUUGCCAGUUGGAUCGCCAACCUUCGAAGAGAGAUGGCGCAAUGAGGCCGGAAUAAAUCUUAGCCUGUUCCUUGGUGUGCUUAGAUCAAAUGUAAAGGAAAGAAAAAAAUCUCUAAAAGAACAAAUAGUAUUUGCCUAAGGUGCUGCAUAACUGCUUGCAUUAUCCAAAAGUAAAGCCCAUACUAAAAGUCAUAUUUAAUUAGGAAGUAAGCCGAUCUACCAAUUGCCCCCCAAUCCGAAGCCCUUUAGUACCCACUCAAAACAACCUGUAGUUUAGGAACUGUAGAAGAACUUAAGAGGGGGUUAAAGAGACAACUUAUACACAUUCAAUUUUAAAUCAUAUAAUUAAACCAUUUCAAAAAAACUACAGUUCCUGAAUUGUGCGAAAAGCGUUUUCCUGGUGUUCUUUAGACUCUUAACACAUUACUCAAAAUAGUUAAAUGCCACUUGGAUUCGUCAGAAUCACUCCAUUAUUUUCUAUCUCGAUUAAUGUAUUCUUCUAAUGUUCAGGGCUCCUUCUUCUUCAAGUACCAUGUUCUCUUCGAACGUCGGCUAUCAUCAGCGCUAUUUGCACCUUAUCCACUGCUUUUCUGAAAAGCGCCAUUGUACUAACAUUAAACAAUUGCCUGAGAUUUUUGAGCCAUGAAGUACGCCUGCGACCUGGGCCUCUAUUUCCUUUGAUUUUGCCUUCUUAUAUAAGCUUUAAAAGUUUAUAUUUUUCGUUUCUC
rnacentral:lncRNA from 1 species